rnacentral:rRNA from 3 species
UGUGGCUGGGGGUGAAAGGCCAAUCAAACCGGGAGAUAGCUGGUUCUCCCCGAAAGCUAUUUAGGUAGCGCCUCGUGAACUCAUCUUCGGGGGUAGAGCACUGUUUCGGCUAGGGGGUCAUCCCGACUUACCAACCCGAUGCAAACUGCGAAUACCGAAGAAUGUUAUCACGGGAGACACACGGCGGGUGCUAACGUCCGUCGUGAAGAGGGAAACAACCCAGACCGCCAGCUAAGGUCCCAAAGUCACAGUUAAGUGGGAAACGAUGUGGGAAGGCUCAGACAGCCAGGAUGUUGGCUUAGAAGCAGCCAUCAUUUAAAGAAAGCGUAAUAGCUCACUGGUCGAGUCGGCCUGCGCGGAAGAUGUAACGGGGCUAAACUGUGCACCGAAGCUGCGGCAGCGACGCUUAUGCGUUGUUGGGUAGGGGAGCGUUCUGUAAGCCUGCGAAGGUGUCCUGUGAGGGAUGCUGGAGGUAUCAGAAGUGCGAAUGCUGACAUAAGUAACGAUAA